rnacentral:lncRNA from 1 species
ACGGGACACCUGCAUCUGCCAACAAGACUGGAAGCAGGUGAGGCACACAGAGGGGGAGGCCCGCAGCUGCGUGGGAGGAGGGGUGGUCUGAGGGACGUGGGAUGCCGGGAAUGAGGCUGGUUUGCAGGUUGGCGCAUGGACAUUUUCCCAGAAAGGGACAGAGACGGCGAAGUUUGACGGUCUGGAAAGCAGAGACCAGCAGGGCUGACUGCUUGGGAGGUAAGUUCUGGGGACAUGGUACAGGGUGAGGAGCAGGUAUCAGUGCUAGUUGCGACCCCUCUGUGUCUCCCCCCCGCCACCCCAUUGCCAUUCUGAAGCUCCCCAGGAAGAAGCUAGGAGGGGAAAUAAAUUGAGUGGGGGUGGGGUUUCCCAAGAAUCGGAGGAACCGAGAACGAAGAGGGGUGGGGGAACGGGGAAAGAGAGAGGAAAAUCAAGUUUUCUUCAGCACGAGGGACAGCUCUCCACCGACCGAAGGAGGAGAAUGCUAUUUAUUUCAGCACCAAAUAUCCGGACAGCGCCUCUCGGGAGGUCCGAGAAGAGAACCGCGAUCUGUUUCAGCACCGGGGCUCAGGACAGUUCCCAGCGGGCUCCGUUUCGUCUCCAGAACCCUGGACAGCUCCUCCAGAGACGGGGUUUCACCAUGUUGGCCAGGCUGGUCUCAAACUCUUGACCUCUUCAUCCGUCCACCUCAGCCUCCCAAAGUGCUAGGAUUACAGGCGUGAGUCACUGCGCCUGGCCCAAGUCCGGAAUUUUCAACAGGUAAGAUACCUCACUGGGGUAACAGCUGCCUGCUAAGAUGACAUUAUGGUGUCUCUUCCAGACUUCGGUGAGAAACCUUGUGCCAAGCAUUUUACAUACAUCAUAUCAUGCCAUCUUCAACCCUAGGACAUGGGUGUUACUGUGCCCAUGUGACAUUUGGGGAACCCAAGGCCCUGAGAAAGGCAGAAAAAUAACCCACGCAGGGACUCUCAGCCCACAAGUGAAGCUGUAAGUCAACCCCACCAGUCCAACUCCAAAUCCCAUGUCUCUGACGUGCCUGGGUGGGAGGUGGGCCCUUGGAGAUCAGACCCUGCUUCUCUCCAGGAGAACCGGGAAUGGAAAACAGGGAGGCAGCACAGAGGCAGGAAACUCAGGUGUCAUAGCUUGGCUCAGGUGAGAAGGAGGAGCUGGGCAGGGGUCUCAGACAUGGGGCAGAGGGUGGUGAAGAAGAUUAGAGUGGCUGUGGUCUAGUGCUGUGUGGAAGACUAGUGAUUUUGUUGUUCUGAUGUACUACGACAACAAGUCACAGCCGGCCUCAUAGCGCAGACUCCCUUCGACCUUCGCCUUCAAUGGGCUGGCCAGUGGGGGAGAACCGGGGAGGUCGGGGAAGAAUCGCUUCCACUCGGAGUGGGGGGGCUGGCUCACUCCAGGCGAUACAGGCACAGGCAAAGGAGGGAAGCAAACAAGGACAUACAUCCUGUGCUCAUACAGCCAUGCACCAUGUAUGGGGUUUGUCACAUCACUCGUACGCCCCCACAAGCCUGGAGAUAGAACAUACCUGACUCUAAACCCAAGACCUCUAACCACCUUAUGGCGCUUUCCUGGGAGACCCAAUGAGGGAAUGACAUUUAAAGCCCUCCCUAGACCAGAGUUCUCAGGGUACUUUUCUAUUAAAAAAAAAAUUAUUAUUUUUUUGGCCGGGUGGCUCACGCCUGUCAUCCCAGCACUUUGGGAGGCCAAGGCAGGUGGACCACUUGAGGCCAGGAGUUCAAGACCAGCCUGGACAACAUGGUGAAACUCCAUUUCUCCUAAAAAUACAAAAAUUAGCUGGGCGUUGUGGCACACACCUGUAGUCCCAGCUACUCGGGAGGCUGAGGCAUGGGAAUCCCUUGAACCCAGGAGGCAGAGGCUGCAUGACCCAAGAUUGCACCACUGCACUCCAGCCUG